AAAUUGUAACUUGGCCAGGAGAAUCAGAAGCUAGAGGAAAAUGGAGGAGGAAAGAAGAACCACAUCUGUUUCUACCGCGCCAUGGCACCCGGGGGGGUCUCGAAUUACACUUCCAUCCCACCUUCCCCCUCCCUCCCGGCCAGGGUUUGGCUCAGGAAUAGUUGAAACUGUGAUUCACUGCUACAGUUCUCUGUGCUGUCCUGGUUGCUACAAGCUGAAGUCUGCUCAGUUCUGGGGACGAAAGAGGUAUGGGCUACGAGGGAUUAAAAAAUGAGAUAUUUGCAGCAAAUGGGGAAGAGCCACUGGCAAAAGUUUGGUGUCUGGAUGUGGAGGAGGGAGGCUCCCUAUGGCUGGGGGAGGGAUGCUGAGGGUCUCAGAGGGAGCCACAGUCCCAGUAGGAGAGGCCACAGAAGAGCCAUGUCCUUGGGCAGCCAGAGCCCUCCUGGCACUGCCCUGGGCUUGAGGCAAAUGGCAAGGGAGGCUCUGCGGCUGGGCUGGCAGGGGCCAGGCUCACCAGGAAGAGGUGGCGGUCCUGGGGGGUGCCGUUCUUGGCUGACAGUUUCUGGAUUUGGCCCUCCUUGAUCAGUUCAUUGGCCGGGUUGACAAUGUCUUCUUCCCCACCCAGCUGCUCGUACACCUCCAAGAGCUUGUGCAUUUUCUCCUGCAAGAGACAUGGGACUCAGGCACCAAAGGUCUGUGAGAGUGGCUGGUGACCUAGAGAUGCACGGAGUCCUUCCCUGCAACCGUGGCCCAGAAUCCAGAGAGGGCAAUGAGCUACUGACAAGGGUGGGAGGGAAAACAGAGUGAUGUUUGAGUUGGGUAUUGAAGGAUGAAUAGGAGUUCACCAUGCAGAGCAUAAAAACAACGAUAAACAGGAACAGAGCUAACCAUUGCUGUGAGCCAUGUGCUGUUCUACAUGAUACAUGUUUUAACUCACCUAGUGAGGUGAGUGCCAUUGUUAUCUUCAUUUUACAGACAAGGAAACUGAGGCACAGAGCGGUCAGUUGAGUAUCUGAGACCCAGACUCGGACAAUCCAUAUGUCACCUUCCCCUGACCAUGGUGACUGGUGGGGUGGUCACAUGGGUAACCAGCACCCAGAAGUGCGAUGGGACAGCGUCAAAGCUCAUGCUUCAGCUCUGAGCCAGACGCCAGUGUAGCAGAACGCAGAGGUGAGCCUGCGGCAACCUCGACAACAGCCACAUGUCUGAGUCUGUACCUGCUGUGCCUUGGAAGCCCCGUCCUUGGACCUGAGUGAUCUCAGCCUGUACAUCCUGGAGGCGGCUGGGUUUGGCUGACCCUUCCGUCUCUGGCACCAAUGCAGAGUUCUUGGCAGGUGCCCCUGCACCCUCCUGGGAGCCCUUGGCCCCAGCUCACUCUCCGCAUCCUUCCGGUCUGGGGCGUCCUGCGGGAGCCUCUUCAGAUAGUCCUUGAGCAGCAGCUCGUACCGGGGGACCCUCUGCACGGGCUCCAGCAUGUGGUGCUGCAGCGUCAGGUUCCCGCAUACCUCCUGCUUCUGUGGGGACAGAGGGAGCAUUGGGCACUCCAAGGACACGUGUGUGGAUGCCAGCCCCACCGGCUUCUGGCCACCACAGCCCCAGGAAGCUGCCCGGAACUGGCUGCCCAGAACUGACUGUCCUUCAAGACAUGGCUGACACAGACCACACUUUACAACGAGGGAAACUGAGGCUCAGAGAGACUGACCAAUGGAGCAAGAACUGGAACCCCAGGCAGGCUGGCCCUUGGCCCAGAGCUGGCUCUCUUAUACGCAUCCUCGGUGGAGAAAAUAAAUGCCUGGACAGGACUGUCUCCUCCUGUCAAGAGUGGCUUUUCCCCACUCUCACCCACCCGUGGGCCUAAGCAGGGCUCCUUCGACCCCUCUGCUGAGAAAUCAGGCAGAGCUUCGCCCAACCAUCCCCACUGGGUAUCGGGCCAGGGCUUGUCCUUAUGCCUAGAAGCAGCUCGGGGAGUCCUUCUGCAGAUCGCUCUCGAUAUAAACGCACCAGUAUUCCAAUCAGGUGCUGAGACCCUCGCGCUCCACGUGUACCCAGCUCUGCUCACCGGCUCCCUGUGCCUCCCCUCGCACCCUGCAGCACCUCCUUGCUGCCAUGUCUCCAUCUGGCAUCUGAACCCCAGACACGUGUGCUGAAUGCUGCCCACCUGUCGCCUCUGUGCUCCCCAAUCGGGUCCUCCUGCCCAGGCCACUUUGCCUCUGCCUCCCCUGAUGAUGCCCACUGGGCAGCCUGUGAGGGCCUGCUGACUUUGUCGUCCUGUCCACCAGCUUCCCCACCCACCUGCCAGCAACUCAAGGGCCUCAACCACCCUCACCUGGCUCAGGGCCCAGAACAGAACGGCUUCCAGCUCAGAUGAGCUCAAAAAUGCCUGGGAUACAACAGGGUGAGAGAAACCCAAGUCGACAAUCUUCAUAAAAACAACUGUUUCUGUCAAGAUAUUCACAUAAUCUCCAAGUAUCUCCCUACAAGAAACUUUUUUUUUUUUGAGACGGAGUCUCGCUCUGUUGCCUGGGCUGGAGUGCAAUGGCGCGAUCUCGGCUCACUGCAACCUCCGCCUCCCAGGUUCAAGCAAUUCUCCUGCCUCAGCCUCCUAAGUAACUGGGAUUACAGGUGCACACCACCACACCUGGCUAAUUUUUGUAUUUUUAGUAGAGAUGGGGUUUCACUAUAUUGGUCAGGCUGGUCUCGAACUCCUGACCUUGUGAUCUGCCUACCUCGGUCUCCCAAAGUGCUAGGAUUACAAGCGUGAGCCAUCGCGCCUGGCCAAAACUUUUUUUUUUUUUUUGAUGGAGUCUUGCUCUGUUGCCCAGCCUGGAGUGUAGUGGAGUGAUCUUGGCUCACUACAGCCUCCGCCUCCCCGGCUCAAGCAAUUCUGUCUCAGCCUCCCAAGUAGCUGGGAUUACAGGUAUGAGUGUGCCACCACACCCAGCUAAUUUUUGUAUUUUUAGUAGAGAUAGGGUUUCACUAUGUUGCCCAGACUGGUCUCGCACUUCUGACCUCAGGUGAUCCGCCCACCUGGGCCUCCCAAAGUGCUGGGAUUAGAGGCGUGAGCUACCACAAGCGGCCAAGAAACUUAAUAGGGGAAAAAACCCAACUUCACCUGAAGAGUCCUGACAGACACGCCCUUUAUCAAGUGAAUAUCCCCAGGAAUGGGAUGCAGAGACUGCGUCACCGGGCAGGACGCAGGGAGAAGAGCACAGCCUCACUCCAGGAAAAGGCACAGCCUCAAUCAAACUGUGGACAAACAGCAGAAAAACCCAAGCAGGCAGUCUACAAGUAACUAGGCUGCACCCCUCAAAAAGACAAGGACAGAGGCCUGUUCCAGACCCAAGAGGACAAAUACAAUAAUGAGCGCAAUGUGUGGCCCUGGGUUGGGUUAUGGAUCAGAAAACAAGAAUGUUAUUGGGACAAUCGGUGACAUCUGAGUGUGGGCUGCGGAGUAGAUAGCACCAGGACAUCAGUGUAAAAUCCCCGAUUUUGAUCACUGUGCUGGGAGUACGCAAGAGAAUAUCCUUGUUCACAUGUUUAGUGAUAAAGGGUUACGGUGUCUGCAACUUAGUUUCAAAACGCUCAAAAGUCAUCAUCAUCUGUAUGAGUUUAGAGGGAAUAAUAAAGUAAGCCAGACAAAAUGUU
rnacentral:lncRNA from 1 species